GGCUCCGUAGCUCAGGGGUUAGAGCACUGGUCUCGUAAACCAGGGGUCGUGAGUUUGAAUCUCACUGGGGCCU
rnacentral:tRNA from 1 species